AAUUCCUUCUCCCAACGGCUGACACGUGUACCUGUUUAAUGAAACGCGGAGUGUUGGAUUUCAUCUAUUGGGCCUUGCUUCGCGAAAUGGUUUUCGGCCCAGGGACAACAACGACUUGCCGAAAGGCCCGAAACCCUAGCACUGCGAUGAAGGUCACAUUUGAUUUCUCCGUCUCGAUUCGAUCUGAUAGGCGGAGGCGAUGACGUUCCAGAUCCGUAACGGGAGCGUUAUGAUUCUUUGAGUUUUAUAAAAAUAGAUGUCGUUUCUUUUCGAUCAGCGCUUUACAGUUUUAUGGUAGCGAUCUUUUGAGCUUUCUCUUACCAUGGUAUGUCAACACCCACUUCUGGUACUUUUUCUGCAACCACCGUAGAGAUUCCAAAGCGAGCUUCUGUUUAUGUAAAGGAGGUGCCGACUAAAUCUCCAACGAAAAGCGCCUCCGUGUCUGAUAAUGGAGGAGACGAGACUGAUUUCCCAAUCACCACAACGGAAAUCAUUGUUUCAAGAUGCUCAGUGAGUUAAUGAAAAUUGGGAUCUGAAACAAUUCGAAAAGAAGGCAAAACAGAGUGGGAUUCGGUAAUAGUUGCUGAUGCAAAGAGGAGAAAGUGGCUUCAAAAAAAGAAAAGGAAGCAUAGUACAGUUGGCGUCAUCACAGGAGAAAAAUAGUAGGUGAAUGGAACAUGUGCCGGGAUCGUUCGGCACCAGCGCCAGUUUCGCUCUUCUUUUCGACCAAAUCAUAUUUAACAGGUCAAUUAGAUUUGUGAGGCUACAUGGUAUUCACUGUACAUUGGCAGGGAAAAUGCGUACGUAAGGUUCAGUUGUAACGCUGGUGGUGCUAUGGGGAUGAACAUGGUAUCCAAAGGUGUGCAUAAUUUUCUUGAUUUAUUCAUUGAUGCUUUAGCUGACAUGAACGUGAUCAAAAUCUCUGGUGAAUUCCUUUUAUAUGUUAUUGGUUUGAUUUGAGAGAAAAAAAACUUCCUUUUAGCUCAGUGCCAUCUUGAGACUUAAAAACUCAUUUAUUGGUCGGUACUUCUUCUCGGACAGGAAACUGCUGUAAACUGGACCGACAGAAAUGACAAAUCAUUAAUUACCGUUUCGUUUGUAUAUUUUAUUUCGGUUUGUUCAUGUACUACAGCCGACACUCAUGCAAACCACCGUCCAACGUUCACCACAUUCAAACAUAUCUGAUAAAAGUGUGACCAUAAGAUGAAGGGAAAUUGAAUUUAAAGCUUGAGCUUGAUUUUCAGUACGAAUCAGACACUCUCACACUUAUGUGCAAGGUCUUGGUCAAGAUUUCAGUGGGAGAGGAAUCACAAAGGAGGUAAAGAAUUUGAAGUUUGGCAUCAUAAUCUAGGAAGAUGCAAAUGAUCUUUCUGAUGUUGUUUUCUCACUUCUCUUAAAAUGUCAGCCGGAUGAUUUCGUGUUUGAUGAAUAUUGUAUGAUGAUAACAUUUACUUGGGAUAAUAUUUUUUCCUUCGUCCCUU